UUUUUUUUUUUUUUUUUAGGGCUGCACCUGCAGCAUAUAGAAGUUCCCAGGUCGAAUCAGAGCUACAGCUGCCGGCCUACACCACAGCCACAGCAACUCGGGAUCCGACCUAUACCACAGCUCAGGGCAAUGCCAGAUCCUUAACCCACUGAGAGGGGCCAGGGAUCGAACCCCCAUCCUCAUGGAUCCUAGUCGGGUUUGUUAACCACUGAGCCAUGAAGGGAACUCCAAAUUAUCUUCUUAAUUGUAGAGAAUUUCCGGGGGGGGGGGGAACCUGAAAAAAGGCUAAACCAUGGCUUUGAUGAGUCUCAAGGACCACAGAUCCAUCACGUCCUAUUAGAAGACUUAGCCCCCCUGGAGAGUUCUAGCCUUCACAGGACACUCGAUAACAAGACCCCACAGGGCUCCACACAACUGCACCAAGAAUACCUCCACCGCUGCCCGUGGCUGAUUCUUUGGACCACGCGGUCCUGCUGGCACACAGGGCAACUCUUCUGGUGCACCCAGAGACAUGCAGCAGUUGUGGAAGGAAUGGUUACAUUCCACCACCCCCCCCCCCCCCCCGCCGCCACAACACAAUCCUCCCGUUUUCGGCUUAACAUCUAAGCCAGGCAUCCCUCACCUGGACCCUGCAGACGGCGGCGCACGUGUCGCCCUCCACGUCCCAGCUCCACGUGGCCACCGCGUUCCACGUCUCGGAGGGAACAUUUUGCCGCCUCCCGACGCGGUCCCUGCGCUCCCUCCGACGGGACGCGGAGCUCCUGGGCGUCUUCCACGUCGCCCUCGGAGGCUGCGGAGGCUGCGCGAUGCCGGCAACGGAGACGUGAGGUCGCAGGAGGCGGGCGACUACGGCGGCUCCCUGGGGCCGCCCGACCAGCCAAAGCGCCGCCGGCAGACUGCAGGCCACCGUGGGGCCACGAUGCCCCCCACCACACACACACUCCAAAGAUUAUUAUUUCCUCUCCCUGUUCCCGUAAGAGUAGACUGACAUUGGUGUAAAGAACUGGCCCGUCUUCCAGCAGCGGUAUGACGGCCUUGGUUUUCGGGAUGCUAUGGGGAACCCACGUCGCCUUGCUCUUCUGUCUCCCUCGCCGUUGGCACCAGCCUCAUACCAUCCCAUCACCUGCUUAUUGCCAUUGCUACUAAUCACUCUCUACUCUUCUCUGGACCCGCUCUGAUUUAUUCUCCACUCAGCAGAAGGGGGGCUUUUAAAUUAAACCUCAAGUCUCAUCGUUUUAUUUCACUGUUGAAAAACCUUUAAUAACUUCUCAUUGUUCUUGGGGAUAAAGACCAACCCGGCCACUGAGGUUCCCGGGCCUUGCGCACUCUGGCCCCGCUGAGCUCCCAGCUGCCUCGCUCCUGACUCUCCUCCUCCUCCCUCUGGGCCACUCUGGACUUCGCGGACACCCCAUGGCUCCUCCUGCCUGGAUGGAGGCCUUGUAGCCAUGCCCUUCAGGCCAUUCUCAGUCUCUUCCCCCUAGAGCCCUGUCAAAUCCGAAAAAGAAAUUCUUCAUGAUUGUAUUAAAAGCUUGUCGUUAAUUACAGAAGAAUGAACAUACCGGCAAUGUUUACUCUUCUCACUCAGGAGUGGGGUUCUCCACUUAUUCAUACUUUCGUAUCACUUAGCAGAGUUCUAUAAUUUUCUUCUAAGAUCCAUUCAGUUCUUACUAGAAUUAUCCUUAGGUUUUGUUGCUCUUUGCGACUGGAGUCUUUCUUCCCAUGCAGAGCGGGAUGCGAUCCAGUUUCUUUGUUUUAUUGAAUCUAUGUUUCUAAAGCAGAGACGACACAGAGGAGAAAAGAGCAAGUCUUUCCACCUACAGUUACUUACAUGCACUCACCUGUUUAGGCGAUGAUUUAACGAUAACUGAUUGGCAUUUUCACUGGUCUUGAAUUCAGUACAAUUUCCCCUUGAUGUUACCACUAAUGUGCCAGGCAGUCCUAAUUUUAGUUUUCUUCUUGCUUGGGCAUUCUUAGGUACUCUAGUAAGAAUUUGCAAGAGUCACCUUGGGAACUCACCAAAUUUCAUUGUGUAGCAAAUGUUUUGUUCUCACGGCGUUUUCAAACAGGUCCCGGCUCUCCCAGAAUACUUUCAUGGCUAUGUGUAUUUUGCCAUAUUAUCCGCAGUGAUAUCUUGACCGAUUGUGCCAAACAUUUUCCUAAAACCAAGAAAUGCUCAUUCUGUGUUACUCCUCUGACCUCCCAGCUCAGUAAAAUGCUUUCAUAAAAGAUGAGGUUAGUCUGGCAUGAGUUAUUCCUGGUGAUUCCAUGUCUUCUAGAGUCAACACAUUCCUUUCAAAGUGUUCAUAAGACAUCUGCUUUAAAUUCAUUCUAUAAUUUAACCAAACAUUGACCGAAGUUAGUAGUCUGUAGUUUCUGGGGUUCACCCCUUUUCCUAACUUGUAACAUUUACUUGACAUUAACUUUUUGAUUCUUGUUGUACAUGAUUUUUUCUUUAACAAAUUACCAGUCGCAGUGUAAUCAGUGACUCCCUGAUUACAUAUUUGAAUUCCUCCAGCACCAGGGAGGAAACUUGGCUGCACCUGAAGACGUAAACUUACGGCGUGAAUUAAGGCUCCCUCUCCAUUUCCAGACAUUUGUUAUAUAGAUUGUGCUCCUCUGUUAGAAUCCAGGGACUCUCCAGAGAACCAGCAGCUGUGGGGAUGUUCUUGUCUUUACCAGGAAAACUGUCUUAAACCCGCACAGAAAAUAAAGUGUUUUCUGACUUGGAAUCAACAACGGCAUCCAGACUCAUGCAGGCGGGGUUCACUCUGGAUGCUCUUCCUGGCUUUGAAAUUUCUGAGCUUCAUCGCCUCCCUGUUUCCUCUUGCCAAAACUGCCCAUGCGCCAUGCCCAUUUUGAAUUUCCACCUCAGACUUCUGGAUUUAUGUCUUGUCCCUAAUGCUUGAAUGGGACCUGGCAUGAGGGCCUUAGACACAUGCCCCUGUCCUGCUGUAUCUGGAUGAGCCAUCCCACAGCCAGCUCUUAGGUCUCUAUGCCACACCCCCUCUGGCCUGCCCUGUCCUCACUGCCAGUAGGGGUUCCACUGUACUUUCUCUCCAUGGCGUCACUCUGGGCAGCAGGGGCCCCAGGUGUCUUUCCCAGGCUCCAUGUAUCUUUGUCAAGCCAGCAUGCUCUGCAGACUGCAUGGCUCUACUACAUCCCGGACUAAGGUACCAUUCCCCACCCACCUCCUCCCUGGUCAAUUCAGUUCUUGUCAGAAGAUGCUGUUUGGCUUCUUUGCACCACACAGACUGGACCUGGCCACAUGUUGAAAAUUAAUAAAUGUUUAUUGAAAUGAUUUAAGUAACAACGAUCUCUCUGCCUUCAUUUUGAGGAAAGCUCUGUAAGUUUUGCAGCUGCCCAUUUUCACAAACCAGGUGUAUUCUCCUGAAGCACAGGAGAUCCAUUUCGGCUCCAUUCAUGAUCAAUGCUGAGACACAGCUCUCUCUCCCACUGUCCUCAGCCCCUUCAACCGAUGUAAUUUCGACCUGGACACUCCAGCUGUGCUCAGUGUCCUUUGGGCCCACUGUCCUAGUGCCCAGAACCUCCCUGACCCCCAGGACGGGACACACUCAUGGAAGUCAUACUGUGGCUUAGCCAGGAGACUCCAGGUAUCAUGCAGGUAUUUACCUGCUGUGGGUUCAAAGGAUAACAACCAAAGGUAUCAGAAGUAAGGCAACUCCCAAGAUCCAGGGGAAAACACAGAAGCUGAGUGAGACAUUCCUGUCCAGCCCCACAGGACUGCUAGACUCUGAUGCAUAGGACACGCAUUUCAUUCCAUUGCGUAGGCUUCUGGUGGGGACCAGACUAUGCCUCACUUUAUGAGCCCGUUCCACCCAUUCUCCCACCCCACCCUCAGAUCAGCCAAGCGAUCUUCAAGAUAUCAUCAGAAGUUCUCCAUCACUAGAGUAACUGUGGAUAAUCAGCAGGAUAUUAGGUAUCGUAGCUUGUUGGCUUUUAUUUGCCAGUAAGGAUGUGAGCAGUAUAAAAAAAUUAACUCAUUUCUUUUUAUAAAAGAAUAUAUAAUUUUAUCAAAUAAUUUAAAAUCAUUUUAUUACAUCUAUAUAGUAAGUUUAUGAAAGAUGAGCUCUUAUCUACUAAUUACUCACAUAUUCAAUUUUAGCCUAAUCUACUAUAGCCAAAGGUACUCAGAAACAGUACACAGCUGCCCUCUUGUGUCACUUUAAUAUAAUUAAACCUACUAGUGUUUAAAUACUAGGAUUCAAUUAACCAAGCAUUUUUAAAGGUCACCAUGUAUCACUAUUUUUCUACUUCUGAAAUUAAUAUUCUAAAUGGUAAUUUACAAAGCACACUAUGUAAAAAUCUGCCAGCCCUAUCGAUUACACAGAACUUACUGGCAUAAAUAUCUAAAUAUUUUAAAAGUAAUAGAAUUAUUCUACCCAGAUCUUCUCCUAACCCAAUACCUAGGAGCCUUUACAGGCCUUUGUAUUAUCUCAUCAUAUUUAAUUAGUGCUCAAUUAAUAUUUAACCCGCUCUUAUUGAGUGCAUGGAUUUGCACUCAUCUUUUGUCCUGGCCACUCAAUGGCCCCACAGAAGAUGAAAUGGAAGAGGCUUCUCUUAUAAUAUUUGACAAGAGCAUCCCCACAGCGGGCCACUCUGGUCUCUGCUGCCACUAAGCACAUAGUACGAGAUAAGUUCUGUGCAAGGUUCUUUUACAAGCAGAAUAUACAGAACAUGCAUGAAAGGGAAAGCUUAUCUCUCCCGAACAGAUGGAGAAACCCCAGCACAGGAGUUAGGGAGCACCUUCAAAGAGCUGAAGGUGGUGUCAUUCUUUAGACUGGACCUGCCAACCUAGACAACAGCUCUUUCUUUGGCUUCCCUCCACCCCGAUAAACCAUCUCCAUGAGUUCCAGGUCUGUCAGCCACUCAGCAUCCUGAAACCAAUCUGCUGAAAGUGAGAGGAAGCUUAGACAACACAGGUAAGUGCAUCAUCAGUGUUGACACGAAUGGAUGCUCUGUUUCCUCAGUAAGCUGUUGUGUUUCCUUAGUAAGUGCUCCACGCUUCUAGCUCUGUAUAAUGCGUUUCUAUGUUUAGAAAGAGUGGAUAUAAAGGCUGAAAGCAAGCCAUAUUGUUUCGGGGAAAUCAGGGACUGCACUUGCACAGGUCAACACUGACUUGGUGACUACGCACCAGGACCAGGUAGAGAGAGGAUCCAGCAGGGAUGCAAGAGGACGGACCAACUGUGCGGUCUCAGUCCCCCACCUCCUGGGAGGGGGAACUUUGAGGAAACUUCAAAGACAGACGCGGAAAUAAGACACAGUGAAGAUAACACCAACUGAGGUCCAGCAUUCCGUGACUAUCAUCCGCUGUGCACUGGGGGUACAAGGGGGAGGUUCUGGGGAGGCCUUGGAGGUGAGAUGAGGGAUGUGGGGUGAGGAGGGGACCACACCUCCACAUCCGGUGGAUAUCCACACCCCCUCCAGCAGAGCAGGUGUGGGCUUCCUCUGAAGAGGGCAAUGAGUGAAGCUGAUCCUGACACCUUGAUGCCAACCUGAGAGAGAAGAGGUGGGAAAUCUUCCUUCUUCAGAGUGUAACUGAGCAACAGUGACCGGGGCCUGCAGCAGUGGGUUGCCUGGCUCAAGAUCAUUACCAAGUGUUGGAGUCAGAGCAGGAGAGACCCAGGGGCACAGCCUCACUGCAGAGCCGAGCAUCUUGAGGCAGUGCAGUGCAACAAGAAAACCAGGAGCGUUGAAAUCCUAAGUCCUAGACUCCUGACCCCACCCUAGAUCUAACUGCUGAGUGCACUGGGGCCAGUCAGCUCACUUUUCGAUUCUAAUUUCAUCUUUCAAAUGUCUUCCUCGGGCACUCAGACAGUCCCUCCCUUCUUCAAGCCCUCUAAACUCAGUCACUUCCAAGUUACAACCAAAGUGUGUCUGGCCACUCCCAAGUAGUGACUUUUUCAUUCUUAUCAUGGGUUGAACUUCCCCCCCGCCCCCGCCCGCCAAAUUUAUAUGUUGAAGCCAUAACCCCCCAGCAUCUCAAAAUGUGACUAUAUUUGGAUGUAAGUUCUUUUAUUUAUUUAUUUAUUUUGGCCAUGUCUGUGGCAUGCAGAAAUUCCCAGGCCAGGGAUCGAACCUGAGACACAGCGGUGACCAGAACCCCAGCAGUGAUAAUAACGGAUCACUAACCUGCUAAGCCACCAGGAAACACCUAUAAAGUCUUUAAAGAGGUAAUUAAUGGGGUGAUGAGUUGGGUCAUAAUCCAGUAGGACUGGUGUCCUUACGAGAAGAGGAAAUUUGGACACAGACAGAUAUGGAGGGAAGACCAUGUGAAGACCCAGCGGGAAGGUGGCCAUCCACAGACCAAGGAGAGACACCUCUGAGGAAAGCAACCCUGCUCAGACCCGGCUCUCACACUUCCAGCCUCCAGCGAGUGAGAAAAUAAAUGUCUGCU
rnacentral:lncRNA from 1 species